AACGAACGCUGGCGGCAGGCCUAACACAUGCAAGUCGAACGCGUCCUUCGGGACGAGUGGCAGACGGGUGAGUAACGCGUGGGAACGUACCCUUUGGUUCGGAACAACUCCGGGAAACUGGAGCUAAUACCGGAUAAGCCCUUCGGGGGAAAGGAUUUAUCGCCAGAGGAUCGGCCCGCGUUAGAUUAGCUUGUUGGUGAGGUAAUGGCUCACCAAGGCUACGAUCUAUAGCUGGUCUGAGAGGAUGAUCAGCCACACUGGGACUGAGACACGGCCCAGACUCUUACGGGAGGCAGCAGUGGGGAAUCUUGGACAAUGGGCGAAAGCCUGAUCCAGCCAUGCCGCGUGAAUGAUGAAGGCCCUAGGGUUGUAAAAUUCUUUCGACGGGGAAGAUAAUGACGGUACCCGUAGAAGAAGCUCCGGCUAACUUCGUGCCAGCAGCCGCCGGUAAAGUCGAUAUCG
rnacentral:rRNA from 1 species